rnacentral:rRNA from 1 species
GCCAGACUCCUACGGGAGGCAGCAGUGGGGGAUAUUGCACAAUGGGGGGAACCCUGAUGCAGCGACGCCGCGUGGGUGAAGGAGUAUUUCGGUAUGUAAAGCCCUAUCGGCAGGGAAGAAGCAAGACGGUACCUGACUAAGAAGCCCCGGCUAACUACGUGCCAGCAGCCGCGGUAAUACGUAGGGGGCGAGCGUUAUCCGGAUUUACUGGGUGUAAAGGGGGCGCAGACGGCAGCGCAAGCCAGGAGUGAAAGCCCGGGGCCCAACCCCGGGACUGCUCUUGGAACUGCGCGGCUGGAGUGCAGGAGGGGCAGGCGGAAUUCCUGGUGUAGCGGUGAAAUGCGUAGAUAUUAGGAGGAACACCAGUGGCGAAGGCGGUCUGCUGGACAGUAACUGACGGUGAGGCGCGAAAGCGUGGGGAGCAAACAGGAUUAGAUACCCCUGUA